UGUCAAUUGAUUGUUUGGGCGAAUAUUUA
rnacentral:piRNA from 1 species